GUGUCAGCAGCCGCGGUAAUACGGAGGGUGCGAGCGUUGUUCGGAAUUAUUGGGCGUAAAGCGCGUGCAGGCGGUUUGUUAAGUCUGAUGUGAAAGCCCCGGGCCUAACCCGGGAAGUGCAUUGGAUACUGGGAGACUUGAAUUCGGGAGAGGGCAGCGGAAUUCCUGGUGUAGGGGUGAAAUCCGUAGAUAUCAGGAAGAACACCGGUGGCGAAGGCGGCUGCCUGGACCGACAUUGACGCUGAGACGCGAAAGCGUGGGUAGCAAACAGGAUUAGAUACCCGGGUAGUCC
rnacentral:rRNA from 1 species